AUGAUUAAGGGGUAAUGAUUAUGAUUUCUAGAAGAAACAUGAUUUGAGACCCGUCACGUUUGCACAAUGAAACUGCCGGUCACCCUUAUUGGAAAUGUACACCAUCUUUUGUCCGGGAAAUAGGACCGAGAUUGCGGGGCAAAAGGAGAGAUUUUCAUGUAAUAGAACACAGUCGUGUAAUGUUAUAGUUUGAGUGGAAUAAUAAUUCCAUAUGAUGGUGUUUCGAGC
rnacentral:lncRNA from 1 species